AUUGAACGCUGGCGGCAGGCCUAACACAUGCAAGUCGAACGAGUGGCGGACGGGUGAGUAAUGUCUGGGACACUGCCUGAUGGAGGGGGAUACCUACUGGAAACGGUAGCUAAUACCGCAUACCAUCGGAUGUGCCCAGAUGGGAUUAGCUAGUAGGUGGGGUAAAGGCUCACCUAGGCGACGAUCCCUAGCUGGUCUGAGAGGAUGACCAGCCAAACUGGAACUGAGACAAGGUCCAGACCCCUACGGGAGGCAGCAGUGGGGAAGAUUGCACAAUGGGCGCAAGCCUGAUGCAGCAAUGCCGCGUGGAUGAAGAAGGCCUUCGGGUUGUAAAGUACGUUCAGCGGGGAGGCGGUACCCGCAGAGGAAGCACCGGCUAACUACGUGCCAGCAGCCGCGGUAAUAC
rnacentral:rRNA from 1 species